rnacentral:rRNA from 1 species
UGGGGAAUUUUGCGCAAUGGGGGAAACCCUGACGCAGCAAUGCCGCGUGGAGGAUGAAGUACUUCGGUACGUAAACUCCUUUCGAUCGGGACGAUAAUGACGGUACCGAGAGAAGAAGCCCCGGCUAACUUCGUGCCAGCAGCCGCGGUAAUACGAGGGGGGCGAGCGUUGUUCGGAAUUAUUGGGCGUAAAGGGUGCGUAGGCGGUUUGGUAAGUUUCGUGUGAAAUCUCUGGGCUCAACUCAGAGUCUGCACGAAAAACUGCCGGGCUUGAGUAUGGGAGAGGUGAGUGGAAUUCCUGGUGUAGCGGUGAAAUGCGUAGAUAUCAGGAGGAACACCUGUGGCGAAAGCGGCUCACUGGACCAUCACUGACGCUGAUGCACGAAAGCUAGGGGAGCAAA